CUGGCACAGCUCAUUUUCCCCUCUUCCUGUCUUCACAGGGAGCAGGGGAGCUGCUGUAUAAAAGCUUUCUAGGAGAAGCAGGUAAUUGGAGGGUGGCUGAGAAUGCUGGGGGAAGCUGGCACAGCUAUGAAUCCUGCCAACAGCCACCACUACACCACAAUGGGGUAUAUAAACUGCCUUGCCAAAAGAAAAGUCGCCAUCUGGAUUAAUCAAG